CAUAUCUGUUGAGUUUAAAAGAUUAUCACAUGUAAUUCUAUAUGCUGCUAGGUUGUUUGUGUCAGCUAACUUCCAUUUCUGAAUAUUUCUUGAAUAGUCUGGUGGCAGACCUGCUUCAAGCUUUUCAAAAGCUAUCAUGUGUUGAGCUAGGAAAGAUGGUAAAAUUGGUUUGGGAUUUUAAGGGAUGGAUGGAAAAUAGCCUGAUCAACAGCCACGGUCUUAUGGAUCAAUUUGUAUUUCGGAUCCACACAGUUGACAAAGAAAGAAGGAUACCAAUUUUCCACUAUAGAAAGGGCGAGAGAGAACGAUUGAUGCCGGAUGCAGCUGAUGACACCACUUAUGAGGUUCAUCAUGAUAGGACAUGGAUUUUCUACAAAGAGCCCCAGAUUGUGUUGCUCCAACGGACAAGAGCAUGUAUCUGGAUUGGAUUUUAAAAGAAACAUGCCCAAAACAACUAAAAUCUGGCCUGCUUACUUCCACAGAGCAGCAAUGGUGGGGGAGUCUUUCAUCGGUGGUCAUGACGUCGAUUUCCCAUUGAUUCAUUUGAUUGAAAGUGUAAAAGAGAUACCAGAAACUCUGAUGUCCCAUCCAGUGGAGACGAGACUUCAAGAGCUCGAGGACAAGACAAUGAAAAGAGCCCUGGUGUACACUGGUAACUAUUUACAUCCGAAAAAGAGGAAAGCAGCAGAGAAGGGCAAAAAGCAGAGAAAAUAAUAAAUUAAGCAAUUCCAAAG
rnacentral:sRNA from 1 species